GAAACCAGACGAUGAAGUGCAAAAAUUGCUUCUCUAGUACCUAACAUAUAUGUUGAAAACCGAACAGUGCAUCUGUGGCAAUACUAAUAGAAGAAGCCCAUAUUGUAAGUGUACGAUUCAAUAUUAAGGGAAUUUAGUGCUAGUUUACUAAGUGUUACUUUCCAUCCUGUUGAGAAUACACAGAUGAUGUACCAGAUAAACACAGGUCAGUCCUCGCUGUGCACACCUACUAUUUUAAGAACAUUUCUGGGAACGCAAGAUCCAUUGAUAAAUAAAAUUUCCAAAGCCCAACAUUACACAUUACAGCAGUAUAUAAGGAGACACCAACUACAAAACCAACCAAAACUAUACUCUUUAUGAAGCUUGUGCAAGAUUGGACAUCAUGAAUACACACUUCCUUGCUGUAUAUCUUUUAUUUUGUUUUGCUGGAGGUGUUUACGUGGACAGCAAUCCUGUUGUUUCAGCAAAUCAGCGAUUUCAAACUGUCACCUUCCCCAUGUCAAACACCUUUAACGUUCUUAUCGAGGAAGCAAACCGUUGUCCUCAACUGACCGGAAGUUGUUUGUGUCCAUGGAAAUGGAUACCGGAUGUUGAUUCUAACAGGAUACCGAACGUAAUUUACAAAGCAGAGAAACUCUUAGGAGCCGAAUGCGAGACCGAUCCUGAAAAAGAAUGUAGAAGUGAAAGCAAACGAUUCAAUGUAAUGCGGUUAAGUCCGAAUUUAAGUAGAGACUACAAUUUAGUUCCCGGUGACGUAGAGCUUCCGGUGGGUUUUUUCUGCUCAGAUAAACUUCAGAGACCAGUUAUAAAUGGAGAACACGCAUAUAGUAUGAUACGGGAUUAGAUGUUUACAAACCUCAAUACGGGAUUAGAUGUUUACAAACCUCAAUACGGGAUUAGAUGUUUACAAACCUCUAUACGGGAUUAGAUGUUUACAAACCUCUAUACGGGAUUAGAUGUUUACAAACCUCUAUACGGGAUUAGAUGUUUACAAACCUCUAUACACGUUUAUCUAUGGUUGUUCUAAAUUUAAAAAGCGUUGAAUUUCCAGUGUUGUAAUAAAUUAUUUUGUUUUAUAGAAUCGAAUAAAUUAAUACGAUUUUUACGUACAAUGAAUUUUACGGGUUUUGUGUAAAAAUUAUAUGUUUCAUAAUUUAUACAAUUUGUCAAAAUAUUUUGAAUA